rnacentral:rRNA from 1 species
AACGAACGCUGGCGGCAUGCCUAACACAUGCAAGUCGAACGAGACCUUCGGGUCUAGUGGCGCACGGGUGCGUAACGCGUGGGAACCUGCCCUUAGGUUCGGAAUAACUCCCCGAAAGGGGUGCUAAUACCGGAUAAUGUCUUCGGACCAAAGAUUUAUCGCCUUUGGAUGGGCCCGCGUUGGAUUAGCUAGUUGGUAGGGUAAAAGCCUACCAAGGCGACGAUCCAUAGCUGGUCUGAGAGGAUGAUCAGCCACACUGGGACUGAGACACGGCCCAGACCCCAACGGGGGGCGGGAGUGGGGAAUUGUGGACAUGGGGCGAAAGCCUGACCCACCAAUGCCCGGGGAGGUAAGAAGGCCUUAGGGUUUAAAAGCUCUUUUCCCCGGGAUGAAAAUGACAGGCCCGGGAAAAGAAGCCCCGGCUAACCCCGG